CAACGAUGAAGAGUUUGAUCCUGGCUCAGGAUGAACGCUAGCGGCAGGCCUAACACAUGCAAGUCGAGGGGCAGCGGGGAAAAGCUUGCUUUUCCGCCGGCGACCGGCGCACGGGUGCGCAACGCGUAUACAAUCUGCCCCCUACUGCGGGAUAGCCCAGAGAAAUUUGGAUUAAGACCGCAUGGUACCGUAUUGCCGCAUGGUAUUUACGGUUAAAGGUUACGGUAGGGGAUGGGUAUGCGUCCCAUUAGCUGGAUGGCGGGGUAACGGCCCACCAUGGCGACGAUGGGUAGGGGCCCUGAGAGGGGGAUCCCCCACACUGGUACUGAGACACGGACCAGACUCCUACGGGAGGCAGCAGUGAGGAAUAUUGGACAAUGGGCGGGAGCCUGAUCCAGCCAUGCCGCGUGCAGGAUGACGGCCCUAUGGGUUGUAAACUGCUUUUAUACGGGAAGAAACGCGCCCACGUGUGGGCGUCUGACGGUACCGUAAGAAUAAGGACCGGCUAACUCCGUGCCAGCAGCCGCGGUAAUACGGAGGGUCCGAGCGUUAUCCGGAAUCAUUGGGUUUAAAGGGUCCGUAGGCGGGCCUGUAAGUCAGGGGUGAAAGUUUGUGGCUCAACCAUAAAAUUGCCUUUGAUACUGCAGGUCUUGAGUCAUGGUGGGGUCGCCGGAACAUGUGGUGUAGCGGUGAAAUGCAUAGAUAUCACAUAGAACACCGAUCGCGAAGGCAGGUGGCCAACCAUGUACUGACGCUGAUGGACGAAAGCGUGGGUAGCGAACGGGAUUAGAUACCCCGGUAGUCCACGCCGUAAACGAUGGAUACUAGCUGUGGGGACUUCGGUCUCCGUGGCCAAGCGAAAGUGAUAAGUAUCCCACCUGGGGAGUACGUUCGCAAGAAUGAAACUCAAAGGAAUUGACGGGGGCCCGCACAAGCGGUGGAGCAUGUGGUUUAAUUCGAUGAUACGCG
rnacentral:rRNA from 1 species